CCCACCUCCCACCCUCCGCAUCCAAUCCGGGCGCUUCGUGAGGCCACGAGGGUGAGGGCAUCGGCUCUGGCGGCGCACGAAGCCGAGGGAGAUCGAGGCCGACGGCGGCGGCGGCAGGAGGUGACGGCGCACACGGCCAGCACCGCGGCGGCAACGGCGACGACGCCCACCUCCCCUCCGACGGUCACGCUCCUCACCUCCUUCUCGCCGCUCAAGAACACAUCUGACAAGAGGUUUCAAGGUCUAAGUUAUACCUUAUCCAUGUCACCUAUAUAGUGGGCUAAAUAAUGGAGCUUGUUUCGGCCGAGGAGUUCAAUGUUACUAUGUUUGCAGUUUUGGAUCAGUGACUUCUCUAGCAUAUUAUUGUCACCUCGUUGAGAUCUAGUUCUAUGUUGUCAGAACGUGCUCUUUCUAUCUUUAUAUCUUAUAUGGUAGUCAAAGGUUUUCAUUCUGACAACUAAUGCUUGAAUCAUUUGUUGACUAGUGCUUUGAUAGUGCUUGCUCCAGGCUCAAAUAGUGCUUGCUCCAACAUGUGCUUGUGUGUAUUAUAUAUUUUGUGAUCGCUCCAGAAUGUGCUUGCUCCA